rnacentral:rRNA from 1 species
UACAGAGGUCUCGAGCGUUAAUCGGAAUUACUGGGCUUAAAGGGUGCGUAGGCGGACCCGCAAGUGCUUCGUGAAAUCCCACGGCUCAACCGUGGAAUCGCUUGGCAGACUGCGGGUCUUGAGGUCGGUAGGGGCCGCCGGAACUCUAGGUGGAGCGGUGAAAUGCGUAGAUAUCUAGAGGAGCGCCGAAGGUGAAGACAGGCGGCUGGGCCGAUUCUGACGCUGAGGCACGAAAGCGUGGGGAGCGAACGGG